rnacentral:tRNA from 1 species
GCCUGGAGCUUGCGGAAUCCAAGCAGAGGACUGAAAAUCCUCGUGUCGGCGGUUCGAUUCCGCCCUGGGGCACCA